GGAUGCGUAAGAGCACAGAAAAAGAGGACGUGAGAUAGAGCAAAAGAAUGAGAGGAGGCAUAUAAGGCUGAGCCUGCCCUCAGAUGCUACAGCAGAAUAGCAGCCUCGGGAGACUUUCUUGACCCUUGACAGCCCAAGGAUGACUCUACUCUUCAUUCAAGUCUGGUUGUCAGGAGGACUUCAUAUGUAUAUUGCACACACCAGACCAGCAGAAGACUGCUUUGAAGGCACUGUGGAAGGCUAGCAGACUGAGCCAGCUGUGAAUGCUGAAGCCAAUGGAACCGAUGAACCAGACCGGAAGACAACAUAUAAAUAACCGGAAGACAACACAUAAAUAAACUCGAAUCCAGGAGAGAAAAGGAACGUGUUUUCAAAUGACAGAAAAAUUGCAAGAACGGUAUAUAGAACUGAUGCACACCCUGUGCCCAGAGAUCGGAUUCCAAUUCUGCCAACUUAUUCCAGCAACAUCUUCGUAGUGGCCAAGACUCUAGUUCAGGAUCACGGGUUAGUCCCAGUUGUCACCUCCCUGGAAUCUCUUUGAUGUGGAGCAGUUCUUCACAACGUCUUUGAUUUUUCAUGAGGUUAAUCAUUUUUGAAGAUUCUAGGUCAGUCGUUUUAUAGGUUGUCUCUUGAUUUGGGAUUAUUCUGUGUUUCC